ACUUUAGGUACUGAUGAUUCCUGGUACAGGAAGAAGUUUGACAUCUUGGACUCAAAAAGUCACUUGGAAAUUGCCAGAACAGGUCAUUUAGCACUGGAACUAUUACACGAAUCAGAGAGUUGGCAGAGGUCAUUUACCAUUCCUAAGCUGGAUUAGCACUUGAAUUUUUUCUGGUGUUCUCUACAUCUGCAGAAUUGCCUGUUGAAGCAACUUCUGUUGGCAACAGCACACCCAAAACAAGGAGCUGAUAUCAGCAUUUUAAGGAACAGUCAUAGCUGUUUCUGCAUAUAUUAAAAUUAUAAUUAUACAGCAGAAAUUCUAAAAAAUAAAAGGUCUUCUUUU